rnacentral:ncRNA from 1 species
GCCACCCUGCGACCGCCGAAGCCUUACGCUCUAUGCGCGGGGUUGAUGUAGGCGGCGUGGGGUGGC